rnacentral:rRNA from 1 species
UCAGGCCUAACACAUGCAAGUCGAACGGCAGCACGGGAGCAAUCCUGGUGGCGAGUGGCGAACGGGUGAGUAAUGUAUCGGAACGUGCCCAGUCGUGGGGGAUAACGCAGCGAAAGCUGUGCUAAUACCGCAUACGAUCUAUGGAUGAAAGCGGGGGAUCGCAAGACCUCGCGCGAUUGGAGCGGCCGAUAUCAGAUUAGGUAGUUGGUGGGGUAAAGGCUCACCAAGCCGACGAUCUGUAGCUGGUCUGAGAGGACGACCAGCCACACUGGGACUGAGACACGGCCCAGACUCCUACGGGAGGCAGUAGUGGGGAAUUUUGGACAAUGGGCGCAAGCCUGAUCCAGCAAUGCCGCGUGCAGGACGAAGGCCUUCGGGUUGAAACUGCUUUUGUACGGAGCGAAAAGGCUCUCU